CUCCAAAGCCAUGUUAACCCACAUCUAAAUAUCGUUCAUUUCAACCUGAAAAACAACAUUGGAGUCACCUACACGGACGACGUCGUUGUCUUUGCCCCCCUCGUCCAUCACCUUAGUAGACAUUUGCAACUUUUGCACUAAAUCAGUUAAACCUGCAAUGCAAUCUACCAUGGCUGCCACUUCAUUGAGUCUCAAGCUAUGGAUUAAUUCUUGAUGCGGCUUGCGUUGCAGAAAAGGUUGUACUAAAAGGUAGAUUGUGGUGUGCAAGGCGGAGACUGGGUCGGACAGCGGCGGCGCAAGAAAAAUGAGAAGAAUGAAGGAGAAAGAAAAGGAAAGAAACAAGAAGAAAUAGAAGGAAAAAUAAUAAUAAGAAGAAGAUAACAAAUAUCGUGGGUCCCACUAUUUUAAAUAAAAUAUUUUAAAAUCCAUGUCAUCUGCUGUUAAUGUUUUAAUGAAACAAUGACUAAUAAAACAAAUUUGAAUAGUUUGAUGAUUAGAUUAAA